GAUGAACGCUGGCGGCGUGCCUAAUACAUGCAAGUCGAGCGAACGGACGAGAAGCUUGCUUCUCUGAUGUUAGCGGCGGACGGGUGAGUAACACGUGGAUAACCUACCUAUAAGACUGGGAUAACUUCGGGAAACCGGAGCUAAUACCGGAUGAUAUUUUGAACCGCAUGGUUCAAAAGUGAAAGACGGUCUUGCUGUCACUUAUAGAUGGAUCCGCGCUGCAUUAGCUAGUUGGUAAGGUAACGGCUUACCAAGGCAACGAUGCAUAGCCGACCUGAGAGGGGGAUAGGCCACACGGGAACGGAGACACGGUCCAGACUCCUACGGGAGGCAGCAGUAGGGAAUCUUCCGCAAUGGGCGAAAGCCUGACGGAGCAACGCCGCGUGAGUGAUGAAGGUCUUCGGAUCGUAAAACUCUGUUAUUAGGGAAGAACAUAUGUGUAAGUAACUGUGCACAUAUUGACGGUACCUAAUCAGAAAGCCACGGCUAACUACGUG
rnacentral:rRNA from 1 species